rnacentral:lncRNA from 1 species
GUGUUGGUACAGUGUAGAGCUGUUGGUAGCAGAUACUCAUUUAGUGCCACAGCAGAGGAAGCAGCUAGCUGGCGCUGGGCAGGGCGGGCUCCCAAGAUUAACCCUCUGGCAGGAGCAGCUCUGCCGCCAGCUGGGACGGGCGGUGCCAAGCCUCACAGCACGCUGAGCCUUCCCACGUGAGCGAGGCUCCCUGGCGGCCUCCAUCCCCUCAGCCCCGCUACGAGUGCUUCUUCCUCUGGAUGGCCUCUGCCCUGGCAGCCAGGCUGCGGGCGCAGGCGGUCAGCGCCACGAUGAGGACGCCCAGCAGGAAGGUGACCAGCGGCCAGAGGAAGCAGUGCAGGAGGACGGUCUCGUCGUGGGUGCGCUUCAGCAUGACGUCGUCUGGCCUCAAGUGCUGGUUAAAAUAGCACGUAAAUGGUUGUGAACCCACUUUCUCUUUCCAGUAUUUCUGCUUGUACGUGACAUUCUCAGAGUUCUCCUGGUCAUCUCUGGCACAGGGAGGGAUGUAGGAACACUUGGGGUUGGUGCGGAGCUGCCGCUCGUCCUCGUGCAGCAGCGCGGGCGCGGCGGAGCGGGAGGUGCGCACCAGCACCUGCAAGCACGGGUAGCGGGCGGUGCCCCGGCAGGCGGCCCCGCACGAGAAGGUGCAGGCGAAGCGCUCGCCCAGCUGCCGCACCGCCAGCACCGUGCAGUUGGCGGCGCCGCCGCCGCCCCGCUCCUGCAGCGCCGGGCGCAGCCAGAAGCAGCCCAACCCCAGCAGCGAGAGCAGCCCGGCGGCGAUGAGCAGGAAGCCCAGCCGCAUGCUCUUGUCCUCCGCCUCCGUGUACUCGUAAGCCGCCCGGCCCCGCGCCAUCGCCCGCCUGCCGCUCGCCGACGGGCAGCCGCUGCCAUCGGCCGCGGCUCGGCGCACCCC